UGCAUGCGCUGCUUACACAUGCAGUCGAACGGUAAGGCCCCUUUCGGGGGUACACGAGUGGCGAACGGGUGAGUAACACGUGGGUGACCUGCCCUGUACUUCGGGAUAAGCCUGGGAAACUGGGUCUAAUACCGGAUAUGACCUUCUCCUGCAUGGGGGUUGGUGGAAAGUUUUUGCGGUACAGGAUGGGCCCGCGGCCUAUCAGCUUGUUGGUGGGGUAAUGGCCUACCAAGGCGACGACGGGUAGCCGGCCUGAGAGGGCGACCGGCCACACUGGGACUGAGACACGGCCCAGACUCCUACGGGAGGCAGCAGUGGGGAAUAUUGCACAAUGGGCGAAAGCCUGAUGCAGCGACGCCGCGUGAGGGAUGACGGCCUUCGGGUUGUAAACCUCUUUCAGUAGGGACGAAGCGCAAGUGACGGUACCUACAGAAGAAGCACCGGCCAACUACGUGCCAGCAGCCGCGGUAAUACGUAGGGUGCGAGCGUUGUCCGGAUUUACUGGGCGUAAAGAGCUCGUAGGCGGUUUGUCACGUCGUCUGUGAAAACCCGAGGCUUAACCUCGGGCCUGCAGGCGAUACGGGCAGACUUGAGUACUGUAGGGGAGACUGGAAUUCCUGGUGUAGCGGUGGAAUGCGCAGAUAUCAGGAGGAACACCGGUGGCGAAGGCGGGUCUCUGGGCAGUAACUGACGCUGAGGAGCGAAAGCGUGGGUAGCGAACAGGAUUAGAUACCCUGGUAGUCCACGCCGUAACGGUGGGUACUAGGUGUGGGUUUCCUUCCACGGGAUCCGUGCCGUAGCUAACGCAUUAAGUACCCCGCCUGGGGAGUACGGCCGCAAGGCUAAAACUCAAAGGAAUUGACGGGGGCCCGCACAAGCGGCGGAGCAUGUGGAUUAAUUCGAUGCAACGCGAGAACCUUACCUGGGUUUGACAUAUAGAGGAUCGCCGGAGAGAUUCGGUUUGCCUUGUGCCUUCUAUACAGGUGGUGCAUGACUGUCGUCAGCUCGUGUCGUGAGAUGUUGGGUUAAGUCCCGCAACGAGCGCAACCCUUGUCUCAUGUUGCCAGCACGUAUGGUGGGGACUCGUUGAGAAAACUGCCGGGUCCACCUCCGGAAGGAAAGUU
rnacentral:rRNA from 1 species